rnacentral:rRNA from 1 species
CCACUCCUUCCCAUCCCGAACAGGACAGUGAAACGCCUUCGCGCCGAUGAUAGUGGACGGACGUCUGUGAAAGUAGGUCAUCGUCAGGC